GCCGCAUUAGUUCAGUUGGAUAGAACAAGAGAUUUCUAAUCUUUAGGUCCCGGGUUCAAAUCCUGGAUGCGGUG
rnacentral:tRNA from 1 species